rnacentral:rRNA from 1 species
AUGAUUAGUGUACGGUCAAAUCGGGGGCGUCACACUCCUUUAAAUUGGACCCAAACUGGACAUAGCCACAUUUUCGGGACAUACCUCAUGAUGGAAGCUGAGAAACAAGUUAGGGAAAUCAGAGACAGAUUGCAAUUGGCCAAGUCUCGACAGAAGAGUUAUUAUGAUGCAAAGCACCGACAGAUCAGUUUUGAACCCGGAGAACACGUAUACCUCCGAGUCACUCCUAUGAAAGGAAUCAAGAGAUUCCAGACUCGUGGAAAGUUGGCACCCAGAUUUAUUGGUCCAUUUCCAGUUAUGUCACGAGUGGGUACUGUUGCAUAUCAGUUGGAGCUACCCCUUGAAUUGUCAGACGUGCACAACGUGUUUCAUGUUUCACAGUUGAGGCGAUGCAUAUCACCACCUGAGAAAAAGACUGAUAUGACUGAAAUAGAGCUGGCAAAGGACUUAACAUAUGAGGAGAGACCAGUUAAAUUUUUGGAUCAGAUGGAAAGGGUCACUCAUAGUAAAGUAAGGAAGUUCUACAAGGUUCAGUGGGAGCAUCACACAGAGUCAGAAUCAACAUGGGAACGGGAAGAAUUUCUAAAGGCACAUUAUCCAGAAUCAUUUUCCCAAGCAACCGAAUCUCGAGGAUGA